AGGGGUAUGGUCUAACGGAUUAAGACACUCGCCUUCGAAGCGAUUAAUAGGGGUUCAAUUCCCUUUACCCCUUCCA
rnacentral:tRNA from 1 species